GGGGAUUUAGCUCAGUGGUAGAGCACUUGCCUAGGAAGCGCAAGGCCUUGGGUUCGAUCCCCAGCUCCG
rnacentral:tRNA from 1 species